rnacentral:rRNA from 1 species
AUGACCAAGAGAGCCAGGGCGCCGGAGCACGCCCACCGCAAACUCCGGGCGGAGCUCCUCUGCCGCGCUCCCGUGGCACUGGAGCCCUGCCACCGCUACCUCCCGCUGCAGCUCCUCUGCGGCGNNNNNNNNNNNNNNNNNNCUCGUCCUUCCAGAAGUCCAAGGCCAAGAAAUCCAGGGCGCCGGAGCACGCCCACCGCUGCCUCCGGCCGGAGCUCCUCUGCCGCGCUCCCGUGGCACUGGAGCCCUGCCACCGCUACCUCCCGCUGCAGCUCCUCUGCGGCGAGCCCAUGGCGCCGUCGCCCUCGUCCUUCCAGAAGUCCAAGGCCAAGAAAUCCAGGGCGCCGGAGCACGCCCACCGCUGCCUCCGGCCGAAGCUCCUCUGCCGCGCUCCCGUGGCACUGGAGCCCUGCCACCGCUACCUCCCGCUGCAGCUCCUCUGCGGCGCGCCCGUGGCGGCGUCCUGCCACCGCUACCUCCCGCCGGCGUGGAGACGAUCACGACGCUGCAGUCCGACCCGUCGCCGGCGAUGAAGCUCACUUACCAAGUCACCAAGACGAAGAACAUGAAGUUCCAGAAAAGCCUUUACCGGAUGCUGGCGUCCAGCGGGAGGGAGGUGGAAAACGUUCCCGAGCUGGCUCCCUAGACGGGCGACAAGAAGCAGCCGCCGUUGUGGUCUUGUGGAUCCUGAUCACCAUCGAAGGCAAGACGCCGAAGGAGGCGGUAGUUCUCGCUGUGCGGACCGACAAUGUGUACAUUGUCGGUUUCAAGAAUGCGGCUGGAGUCUGGUACGCCUUCCCCAAGUACAAAGACCUGAUCAAAGGUUCGACGCCGCUCCCCAAGGCGCAGGACUACGGCAGCCUCGUCGGGGGCCAUGAGAAGCUUAAGGACCUCGACAGCGACAGCGACGCCGUCGCGCAAGACGUUCGGUUCCUGUCGACGUUCACGCCCCCGCCCCGGCCCAACCCGACAUACGAAGCCACGCUCGGCACCAGCCUGGCCAGGCUGUGCCUCGUGGUCGCCGAGGCGGCGAGGUUCAACACGAUCAAUGCCACGGUGGUGGCGGCGAUGGAUGAGAAAGGCCCGAGCCGGAUCACCCUACAGCAGACGAAACUCAUCGUCGUUUGGGGCGUGACGUCCAAGGCGCUGCUUGAUUGGAAGAAGGAACAAGUAUGGCAGCCGGAAAGAAAGGCGGACGUAGAAAAAGAGGGCAUCCACGGCGCACAAGAUGCCGUUAGCGCGCUCAAGGUUAUCCUUAUGCCCAUUGGGUACAAACGGGAGGCUGAGGAAGAUUAA